rnacentral:rRNA from 1 species
ACAAUUAGCUGUUGGGACACUAGAUGUCUUAGUAGCGAAGCUAACGCGUGAAAUUGUCCGCCUGGGGAGUACGGUCGCAAGAUUAAAACUCAAAGGAAUUGACGGGGACCCGCACAAGCGGUGGAUGAUGUGGAUUAAUUCGAUGCAACGCGAAGAACCUCACCUGGUCUUGACAUGUACGGAAUCUCUUAGAGAUAGGAGAGUGCCUUCGGGAACCGUAACACAGGUGCUGCAUGGCUGUCGUCAGCUCGUGUCGUGAGAUGUUGGGUUAAGUCCCGCAACGAGCGCAACCCUUGUCAUUAGUUGCCAUCAUUAAGUUGGGCACUCUAAUGAGACCGCCGGUGAUAUGCCGGAGGAAGGUGGGGAUGACGUCAAGUCCUCAUGGCCCUUAUGACCAGGGCUUCACACGUCAUACAAUGGUCGGUACAGAGGGUAGCGAAGCCGCGAGGUGAAGCCAAUCUCAGAAAGCCGAUCGUAGUCCGGAUUGCACUCUGCAACUCGAGUGCAUGAAGUCGGAAUCGCUAGUAAUCGCAGGUCAGCAUACUGCGGUGAAUACGUUCCCGGGUCU